rnacentral:tRNA from 1 species
UGCAGAGUAGGGUAGUGGAAGCCCGUGGGGCUCAUAAUCCCAAAGAAUUCGUUCGAAUCGAAUCUCUGCAA